GUGGGUAGUUUGACUGGGGCGGUCUCCUCCCAAAGAGUAACGGAGGAGCACGAAGGUUAGCUAAUCCUGGUCGGACAUCAGGAGGUUAGUGCAAUGGCAUAAGCUAGCUUGACUGCGAGCGUGACGGCGCGAGCAGGUGCGAAAGCAGGUCAUAGUGAUCCGGUGGUUCUGAAUGGAAGGGCCAUCGCUCAACGGAUAAAAGGUACUCCGGGGAUAACAGGCUGAUACCGCCCAAGAGUUCAUAUCGACGGCGGUGUUUGGCACCUCGAUGUCGGCUCAUCACAUCCUGGGGCUGAAGUAGGUCCCAAGGGUAUGGCUGUUCGCCAUUUAAAGUGGUACGCGAGCUGGGUUUAGAACGUCGUGAGACAGUUCGGUCCCUAUCUGCCGUGGGCGCUGGAGAAUUGAGGGGGGCUGCUCCUAGUACGAGAGGACCGGAGUGGACGCAUCACUGGUGUUCGGGUUGUCAUGCCAAUGGCAUUGCCCGGUAGCUAAAUGCGGAAGAGAUAAGUGCUGAAAGCAUCUAAGCACGAAACUUGC
rnacentral:rRNA from 1 species